ACAAAUAUCUCUCACUUGGACCCUUUUUUCCCCUUCCUAAAGAGCUUGUCUAUCUUAAGACAGAGUCAACAGAAUGGGAACUUUUAAAUAAUUUCCUAAUUAUUUCUUAUCAACAGAGCUCAUGAAGACACGAGGAGUGGGCUGUGCUGCUGUCCAGCUCCAGAAGACUCCCCCAGAUGCAUACACAAAUGCAUGCACAGUGUUUGUGCGGCCCGUGUCUUCUCUGCACGAGGUGCACAGAGAUGCUCAGGAACGUUUCCACCCCGGCUGAGGCUGGUUGGGCUGUGCAGCGGUGAAGGUGGGAGACUAUUCUGGAAGGAGCUUGCACAGCGUCUGCAGAAACAGAAUAGAAAGAGCCUGGUGCUCUCAGGUGCUGGAGGCAACCUGGCCUGCUCUCAGCCACUCUACUGCGUCUGGCCUCUCUCAACUUCCCCCUCCUACUUCCCCUCCUCCCUCUCAGGUAGAGCAACCACCCACAUGCAGGCCUCAGGGAUGCUGCUGCCCCCGCCACCCACAUAGAGAGGAGCCCAGACAAACACCAGCCUCUCUCCUUCAGGCCUUGCCUCCCCAGGCCUGGAGACAAUCGGCUUCUUCAAGCAUCACCUCUGUACCCAAGCUGAUGUCUGUCACCCCUCCUCCCCUGCCUCUGGCACUCCUUCCUCUGAGCUGUGUCUGCAUGCAGCCUUCAUAUUUACUGUGUCUCCACCAAGUGAUUUGAAAACUAAGGCUUCACCCCCAAGAAGCAACCCCAAAAGCCAUCUGAGGAACUUGUGAUAUUGACAAGGACCUGCAGUGAGACGAUGGUGUGAGGAGGUCUGGCCUCAGGGAAGUGAUCAAGUGCUGGAGGCCAAGUCCCCUGAAGAGACUGGAGCUUCCUCUAGCCAUCUGAACACACUGUGAGGAAGCCUUUCCUCACUUCAGGCAAACCCAAAAGGGAGCUGUCAUCAAACUCCAGCUAUGGCUAUACCUCCCUCUUACCCUUCCAGCCUCCAGAACUGUAGGAAGAUUAGCUUUGGAUGCUUAUACGCCACCAGCUUGUAGCAUUUUGUUAUAGCGGCUCAAGAAGACAAUGUGGAAUAAUGGAAAAUAAGAACGAUGUCAUUAGCUGACCCUGUGUACAAUAUGCAUGAGUGGUCAGCAUUCAUGUGUGACCUAGGCACUGGUGAGACCCUCUUCCCUUUAAACAGUGAAACAGGUGCACACUGU